CAGUUUGGAAAAUUCUUGGCUGUGAUUACUUCAGGUUUUCCUUCUGUCUCAUUCUUACCUCCUUCUGAUAGUCCAAUUAUGUUUAUGUCACCCCUACUUGGUAUCAUUCCACAGUUAUGGGAUUAUUUUUUUUUUUAAGUUUUUUUUUCUCCUUGCAUUUGAGAUUGGGAAGUUGAUGUUGACCUUUCUUCAAGUUCGCCAACUCUUCCUCAAAAUCCUCAGGUCUGCUGGUGAGCCCAUCAAAGGCUCUGCUCAUUUAUGCUAGUGUUACUGACCUAGCCUUUCCCUUUGAGUCUUUCUUAGACUUCCCUUCUCUUUGUUUACAUUACCCAUCUGUUCUUGCAUUCAUCAUAAUUAUUUUCACUGUUAUUAAACCAGGUAGUUAUUUGAUCACAAUGGAGGAUGACUAUAAAACCACAAUCUUCUGUUUUAAAAGGCCAAUUACCUGCACUGCUGCUUUCUCCAUAAUACUGCAUCAUCUCUUUCAUGUUCAUGGUCAUUGCCAUAGCUCAAGAUUUUAUUACCUCCCAGAUGGAGCAUGGCGGUAACCUCUGAACUGCUUCCCCCUUCCAACUUUACAUGUUUUUGUGACCAGAUUAGUAUUACUGGAGCACCAUCAUGUUCUCAUCAUGACCCAACUUAAAGAGAAAGAAAGAUGGCUCCUCUCUGUCUACAGAAUGAAGUUCAUAGCCGUUGGUGUUCCAUCUGUCCCCACCCUCACCUUGCUUAUGUUCUUUCCCGUGUAGCAAUUCUUUGCGUUCCCUGUGUUCUGUAUGAACUGAACCACUCCCUGUAUUUUCUUGGGUUUUAGUUUUUGUCUUCUGUUACUCUCUACACUUGGAAUUCCCAUUCUUCGUUCUUCAAGACCCAAAAGAAAUUCCCUGCUCCCAUACCCAGUAUUUUUCCUGGAGGAGAAGAAAAAAAAAAGAGGAAACUACAAUUCCUUAUCAUUACCCCAAAGCCUAUCCUAUUCAACUUUGUAUUAUAUUUAUAUAUAAUAAAUUCUU
rnacentral:lncRNA from 1 species